GAAUAACCUGAAAUACAGCGAUCUUUCUUUCUUCUUUUUCCUGCCCUAGUGGGAAGUAAAAGCCUUGAGGAAAACUUCGCAGCCUUUUUCCCUGAGUGCGGAGGGGGACCCACAGCUGAUCCUCUAGGAAGCUGCACACAAUUAAGACUCAUUUUCUUUCUGCUGGAACAAUUAAUUGUACGAMUCAAAGGUAGGAAUCAUUGCCCUGUCUCCUGCAACACCCUGUAAGAUGGUGUCCUGGAUACUUAGCAACUGCGGACGGGCAGGUCUGGUUUGAACCAGCAGGAAGCUCUCACCAACUUCAGCUGGCCUUUGGAUCCAGCCUUUCUGUCCCGACUAGCUCAAAAAAACGCCACUGGUCCAGAAGUCAAGGGGAAGAGCGCUGCUGGACAGCAGGUGCAAAGUGGCCUCUUGCAAUGGCAAAAGCAGUCUCGGAUGUGCAAAGUCCAGGAGUUCAGUUCCAAAACGAGGACACAGCUGACAUUUUAGAUCCAGCAGACUCAGGGCACUUAGGCCUGCACAGGGAGAGGCUAAUGCCAUUGCUCCUGGUAUGUUUAGCUAAUUGUCUAACAACUGUUCUGCGCAAGAGCUACAAGAUAAAAGGCCAGACUGACCCUCGGCAAGGYGGACACGAGAGGAGUUCCCGCCUGCACUGAAAGAAUAGCUCAACAUCUGUCAUCCCAUUCUCUACCAUGGCCCAAAAUCAGGAAGACUACAGCUGUCCUGUUCCUUUCAGAUACUUCUGGGAUAGAGAGGAAUCUUCUGGAUGCAAAUGUUUCCCACCAGUUCCCUCAGUCUGGAGUACAGAAUUGCUGGCUAUUGAGACCGCAUGUCUGUAUAUAGAUCACUACAAGCCAGCAGAGCGGAGGAGGAUCCCUGCACCUCCCUUCUAUCCUAACCACAAAGAGAGAAAGAAGCUCCCAUUCAGCUUCACGCUACCACCAGUGGCUGGCUGCUCUGGCUACUCAGCCCAGCUUAUCUACAGAUAACACAGAAAGGAAGGAUGGGGUAAAGGGUCAGUGUAAACUGUCACUUGCCUCCCUAUGAUCAGUAGACAAUUUCUUUACAGGAAGGUCUUAGGAAGGAUUUGGAAGAAGAUUGGGCAAAAUAAAUUAGGGAUUUUGAUAACCUCA
rnacentral:lncRNA from 1 species